UCACUACUUGCGUAGGCAGUCCACUUAGAGUGCCCAGCAUUACCUGAUGGCAACUAAGUGCAGGGGUUGCGCUCGUUGCAGGACUUAACCUAACACCUCACGGCACGAGCUGACGACAGCCAUGCAGCACCUGUACAAGUGCGUAUUGCUACGAGAUCGACUUUCAUCGACGGUCACUUGCCUUUCAAACCCAGGUAAGGUUCUUCGCGUUGCAUCGAAUUGAACCACAUGCUCCACUGCUUGUGCGGGCCCCCGUCAAUUCCUUUGAGUUUCAACCUUGCGAUCGUACUCCCCAGGUGGGAUGUUUAACGCGUUAGCUCAGGCACCGAUCCUUGCGGACCGACACCGAACAUCCAUCGUUUAAGGCGUGGACUAC
rnacentral:misc_RNA from 1 species